rnacentral:lncRNA from 1 species
AUUAUAGCCAUCCUAAUGGGUGUCAUUUUCAUGCGCGUCCAUGUGAAGAGACCACCAAACAGGCAUUGUGUGAGCAACAAGGCUGUUUAUUUCACCUGGCUGCAGGUGGGCUGAGUCUGAAAGGAGAGUCAGUGAAGGGAGAUAGGGGUGGGGCCGUUUUAUAAGAUUUGGGUAGGUAAAGGAAACUUACAGUCAAAGGGGGUUUUUCUCUGGCGGGCAGGAGUUGGGGGGUCACAAGGUGCUCAGUAGGGGAGCUUUUGAGCCAGGAUGAGCCAGGAGAAGGAAUUUCACAAGAUAAUGUCAUCAGUUAAGGCAGGAAGAGGCCAUUUUCAUUUCUUUUGUGGUGGAAUGUCAUCAGUUAAGGCAGGAACCUGCCAUCUGGAUGUGUACGUGCAGGUCACAGUGGAUAUGAUGGCUUAGCUUGAGCUCAGAGGGCUGACAUUCCUGUCUUCUUAUAUUAAUAAGAAAAAUAAAACGAAAUAGUGGUAAAGUGUCGGGACAGCGAAAAUUUUGGGGGAUGGUAUGGAGAGAUAAUGGGCGAUGCUUCUCAGGGCUGCUUCGAGUGGGAUUAGGGGCGUCGUGGGAACCUAGAGUGGGAGAGAUUAAGCUGAAGGAAGAUUUUGUGGUAAGGGGUGAUACUGUGGGGUUGUUAGAAGAAACAUUCGUUGUGUAGAAUUAUUAGUGAUGGCCUGGGUACGGUUUUGUAUGAAUUGAAAAACUAAACAGAGUAAGAGAAGGAGAAAAACAGGUAUUAAAGGACUAAGAAUUGGGAGGACCUAGGACAUCUAAUUAGAGAGUGCCUAAGGAGGUUCAGCACAGCCUUGCCCGCAAAGAUUAUUUAUUUACUUUAAGAGCUAAGAGUGGCGGUUUGGGGAUAGCACCAGGAGAUAUCAGCUGUGAUGGCUUGGAGAAACAGAGUAAACGGCAGUGGAAACAAAAGCAGGGCACGUGUGAGUAGUUGAGAAUGGUGAAUAGGAGUAUGACUAGAGAGAAGAUAGUAGGGAUGACAAGUUUUUUGGGGCACAGUCUAAGUUAGUCUGGUGUCUGGAAUGAGACUGGGGCCUAAUAAAAAGGAGCAUCCAUACAGGAGCUCAAAUGGGCUGUACCCUGUAGCAUUCCAAGGACAGGCCUGAAUUCUAAGAAGGGAAAGUGGUAAAAGUACGUCCAGUCCUUUUAAGUUGGUGGCUGAGCUUGGUGAGGUGUGUUUUUAAAAGACCUUUAGUCCGUUCUACUUUUCCUGAAGACUGAGGACCGUAAGGGAUAUAAAGGUUUCACUGGAUACUAAGAGCGAAAAACUGCGUGGCUGAUUUGACUAAUAAAGGCCGGUCUGCUAUCGGACUAUAUAGAGGUGGGAAGGCCAAACCGAAGAAUUAUGUCUGACAGAAGGGAAGAAAUGACCGCGGUGACCUUCUCAGACCCUGUGGGAAAGACCUCUACCUAUCCAGUGAAAGUGUCUACCCAGACUAAGAGGUAUGUUAGUUUUCUGACUUGGGGCAUGUUGAGUAAAGCCAAUUUGCCAGUCCUGGGCGGGGGCAAAUCCCCGAGCUUGAUGUGUGGGGAAGGGAGGGGGCCCGAAUAAUCCCUGAGGAGUAGUAGAAUAGCAGAUGGAACACUGAGAAAUUAUUUCCUUGAGGACAGAUUUCCAAGAUGGAAAGGAAAUGAGAGAUUCUAAGAGGCGGGCUGGUGGCUUUUACUAUAGCAUAGCCUGCCUCUGCUGGCGUGUGGCGAUUAGGCCUGGUGGAACCGCCAUCAAUAAAUCAAGCGUGAUCAGGGUGAGGAACAGGAAAUAAGGAAAUAUGGGGAAAUGGGGUGAAUGUCAGGUGGAUCAGAGAGAUACAGUCAUGGGAGUCAAGUGUGGUAUCAGGAAUAAUGUGGGAGGCUGGAUUGAAGUCUGCGCCAGGAAGAAUGGUAAUUGUGGGAGACUCAACAAAGAGUGAGUACAGCUGAAGGAGCCAGGGAGUAUAUGUGUCAGGUGUGAGGAAGAAAAUAGAUUUUGGAAGUUAUGAGAACUGUAGAGAGUGAGUUGAGCAUAGUUUGUGAUUUUGAGGGCCUCUAAAAGUAUUAGGGCGGCAGCAGCCACUGCACGGAGACAUGAUGACCAGCCUAAAACAGUAUGGUCAAGUUGUUUGGACCAAAAGGCUACAGGAUGCAAUCCUGGUCCUUGUGUAAGAAUUCUGACUGCACAGCCCUGCACUUCAGCUGUGUGUAAUGAAAAGGAUUGGGAUGAGUCAGAGCUAGGGUGAGGGCAGUCUCUAAAGCUGUCUUCAAGGAACGGAAAGAGGAGUGGGUAAAGGAUUCAGGAUCUAUGGGGUCAGCUAGGUUUCCUUUUGUGAGUUUAUAUAAUGGUUUUGUUACGAUGGCAAAAUCAGAUAUCUAAAGUUGAAAGUAUCUAACCAUGUCUGGGAAGGAAAGGAGUUGUUGUUCUGUAGAAGGGAUUGAGGUUUGGGAGAUUAGUUGGACACGAUCAGCAGGGAGAGCACGUGUGUUUUUAUGAGAAUUAUGCCGAGAUAGGUAACAGAUGAGGAUGAAAUUUGGGCUUGACUGAAGUAAUUGGGGCUAUUUGUGAAGGCUUCUGGCAGUACAGCCCAGGUAAUUUGCUGAGCCUGAUGGGUGUGAGGGUCAGUCUAAGUGAAAGCGAAGAGAGGCUGGGAUGAAGGGUGCAAAGGGAUAGUAAAGAAAGCAUGUUUGAGAUCCAGAACAAAAUAAUGGGUUGUGGAGGGAGGUAUUGAGGAUAGGAAAGUAUAUGGGUUGGGCACCACAGGGUGGAUAGGCAAAACAAUUUGGUUGAUAAGGCUCAGAUCCUGAACUAACCUGUAAGGCUUCUCUGGUUCUAGGACAGGUAAAAUGGGGGAAUUGUAAGGAGAGUUUAUAGGCUUUAAAAGGCCAUGCUGUAACAGGCGAGUGAUAACAGACUUUAAUCAUUUUAAAGCAUGCUGUGGGAUGGGAUAUUGGCAUUGAGCCAGGUAAGAGUGAUUAGGUUUUAAUGGGAUGGUAAGGGGUUCAUGAUCGGUCACUAAGGAGGGAAUAGAGGUGUCUUAUACUUAUGGGUUAAGGUGGGGAGAUACAAGGGGAGGAUGUGAAGGAGGCUUUGAACUGGGGGAAAAGGUGGCAGUGAGGUGUGGCUGUAGCCCAGGAAUAGUCAGGGAAGCAGAUAAUUUAGUUCAAGUGUCUCAGCCUAAUAAGGGAACUGGGCAGGUGGGGAUAACUAAAAAGGAGUGCUUAAAAGAGUAUUGUCUAAGUUGGCACCAGAGUUGGGGAGUUUUAAGAGGUUUAGUAGCCUGGCCGUCAAUACCCACAAGUUAUGGAGGCAAGGGAAACAGGCCUUGAAAAGAAGGUAACGUGGAGUGGGUAGCCUCCGUAUUGACUAAGAAGGGGACGGACUUACCCUCCACUGUGAGAGUUACCUGAAGCUCAGCGUCGGUGAUGUUCUAGGGGGCUUCCGAGGCGAUUGGGCAGGAUCAGUCUUCAGCCACUAAGCCGAGAAGAUCUGGGAAGGAGUCAGAGAGCCUUGGGCCACAGUUCCAGGGGCUCUGAGAGUGGCUGCCAGUCCAACUUCAAAGCACUGACACAUUUGGUGUCUGAUGAUGUCCGGCUUUCUCAUAGACGGCUACCUUCUUCUCACUGUUACCUCAUAUGGUGGAAGAGAAAGUAUCAUCUGCCAGGAUUCUCAGUCCUGGACAGCAAGCAGUUAACCCUGGGGAAGGGAGAAAGGAGAAGACAAUGGAGGAAUGGUCUUCAUUUCCAGGGGCAUCUGCUUCCCAAAAUGAAACAUUUGGAAGUUUUUUGAGGGCUCAAGAAGGGAGCUCUAAAAUGCAACAUGUGAAGUGAGGUUAUUUAAAUUCUGAUCUAACUGUGUGGCCUAUCUUCAUGCCUGCAUUAAAAUUGUUCAGACUUUGACCAUCC